GGUCAGCAGGCACUAAUGUGCAUUUAAACAGGAAUAAAACUAAUUAUAAGUCUUCUUUAGGUAUAUAUGGGGAUUGGUGUUGCAAGUGAUGACCAAAGGCAAAUCACUCCUAACAUAACCCCUGUCCCUUCUCCUUCAGUCAAAUAACUUGUUGAAACCCAUCAGUCUAGAUUCAACUGAUCAAUGUAGACAAGUGUCUGGCACUUAAAACAAAGUGCUCUGGUUACGUGGAGCUCAUAAUCCCUGAAAGGCAGUUCACCAAGGAGAAGGAACUCUUACAACCCCCCGGACCCCAAUAGUGAGUCAGGCUGUCCAUAUUGGAUUCAUUGAUCUUCGGUGCACAGCAAUACACUUUUCAGGACUGAAGUAAGGAGCAAAGAGUAAUUUUAAAGAAUAAAAAAAUCAAUGUCAAUACCAAAUGUUGUGCUUGGACAUCCAAUGCAUUUGAUAACUUGUCUUUUAUAAAAUGAAAUAUUACUGUGCAUAAAGAUUUAACGCAUUAAGGGACCGGUCAUUAUUUAAGGCGGGGGGUGGCACCGAAGAGAAAAGGGUUGGGUAAACAAAAUUUUGAGUAAGUAAAAGGUUGGGGAAAUAAAAAACAAAACAACUCAAGGGUUGGGUAAUAAAAAAUUAUUGUCAUUUCCAAAGCAUGACUCACUUAAAUAGUGGAGACUGAAAAGCAAUGUCAACAGUCAUAUGUAAAUACAAUAUAUGAAUCAAUCAGAGUGACUAUCUUGAUCAUUUUCCGAUUUGUUGGGAGACAGAUGGUGUCUCCAAAGAAAGUACAUGUGCAGACAACAUGAAACUUUAGACUGCAGAAAAUUGCACAAUCCGUUAUCAAACUCGUGUCACAGAAGUGGUAUUAAAAAGGACAUGUGUGACAACUGAAUGGUAUCCUUUUGUAAAGGUUUUGGCCAGGGGUGGGUAUUUAUUUUUUAAUUGAUAUUCGAAGUUGGGUAAUCAAAUUUUUGACUUUUUAUGGUUGGGUCAGCAAAAUUUUUGCCAGGAAAAAUAUUUCUCUUCGGUGCCACCCCCCACCAUACAUAAUGACCCGUCCCUAACUUGAUAAAGGCUUUUAUUUGUUAGCAAAAUUUGCUGUGGGAGAUAGAGAAAGCUUAAAAUAAAUUUGAAGGAAUUUUGAACUGCAAUUUUCUUCUUUUGGUGUAUGUGUUAGACUGAACAAUCAAGCCACGCAAAGUAAUGUUUCCUGUAAUUUUGCUAAAACACAUAUGCCAAAAGGAGAAAAUCAAAGUUUAAAAUCGCUUGUGUGAACGGGCCUUAACAGGUGUGAACUACCCAAGUUCUUUCAAAAUAUUUAAAAUGAUCCUCCCUGUCAAGGGGAGAUAAUUGCAGUAAAAUGGAUUAAUGAAUAAUAAAGUUUCCGUCAAUGAUCCCUCUAAUGCAUACCCUGGUUCCAUAAACCUCUGGUUGAAAGCUGCAAUUGAUUCAUCGAGCCGCACCAAUCAGUUUGAAUUAGGGUUGGAUGAUUGUAUUAAAG